rnacentral:tRNA from 1 species
GGUAGAAUGACUGAUAAAAGUGAUAAAUUGUAAAUUUAUUUAUGAAUAAAUAAUUCUUCU